GUGUUUGCUUCAGCAGCACAUCCACAAAAAUUGGAAUGAUACAGAGAAGAUUAGCAUGGCCACUUUUGCAGGGAUGACACCCAAAUUCACGAAGCAUUCCAUUAAAAA
ensembl:snRNA U6 U6 spliceosomal RNA